UACGUAGGGAGCGAGCGUUGUCCGGAAUUACUGGGCGUAAAGGGUGCGUAGGCGGUCAGGCAAGUCAGAUGUGAAAUCCCCGGGCUUAACUCGGGUGGUGCAUUUGAAACUGCUUGACUUGAGUGCAGGAGAGGAAAGCGGAAUUCCUAGUGUAGCGGUGAAAUGCGUAGAUAUUAGGAGGAACGCCAGUGGCGAAGGCGGCUUUCUGGACUGUAACUGACGCUGAGGCACGAAAGCGUGGGGAGCAAACAGG
rnacentral:rRNA from 1 species